rnacentral:rRNA from 1 species
GACGAACGCUGGCGGCGUGCUUAACACAUGCAAGUCGAACGGAAAGGCCCUGCUUUUGUGGGGUGCUCGAGUGGCGAACGGGUGAGUAACACGUGAGUAACCUGCCCUUGACUUUGGGAUAACUUCAGGAAACUGGGGCUAAUACCGGAUAGGAGCUCCUGCUGCAUGGUGGGGGUUGGAAAGUUUCGGCGGUUGGGGAUGGACUCGCGGGUUAUCAGCUUGUUGGUGGGGUAGUGGCUUACCAAGGCUUUGACGGAUAGCCGGCCUGAGAGGGUGACCGGCCACAAUAGGACUACGGGACGCAGCAGACUGGAACGGGAGGCAGCAGUGGGGAAUAUUACACAAUGGGCGGGCGCCUGAUGCGGAGGCCCCGCGUGCGGAAUGACGGCCUUCGGGUUGUAAACCGCUUUCGCCGGUGACGAAGCGUGAGUGACGGUACUGGGUAAAGAAGCACCGGCUAACUACGUG